rnacentral:rRNA from 1 species
UCUUGGUGAUUUAGCGUUCUAGGAACCACCUCUUCCCAUUCCGAACAGAGUCGUGAAAAUAGAAAGCCCUGAUGAUACUGCUUGCGCAAGCGAGGGGGAAAGUAAGGUUUGCCGAGAG